rnacentral:rRNA from 1 species
UACGUAGGGGGCAAGCGUUGUCCGGAAUCAUUGGGCGUAAAGAGCGUGUAGGCGGCUCGGUAAGUCCGCUGUGAAAGUCCAGGGCUCAACCCUGGAAUGCCGGUGGAAACUGUCGGGCUAGAGUCCGGAAGAGGCGAGUGGAAUUCCUGGUGUAGCGGUGAAAUGCGCAGAUAUCAGGAGGAACACCGGUGGCGAAGGCGGGUCUCUGGGC